AAGGGGAGUGCUGAUUCUGGGCUGUGUCCCCUGGCUCCUUGGACUCUGGAGUCUGAGCUGCUGGAAUCGUGCUCUUGGGGCCACACAGCCCCCU
rnacentral:pre_miRNA from 1 species